CUUUUCAUUGCAUAUUUCAGAAGCUCAUUCAAACAUGCAUACCAGUAACUACAUAGAGCUAUGAACUUAAGAGUUUCAUUAUAAGCUAUUUAGGGUAUCUUAGAGAUUCCAAAAAGUAUACAUGGAGUUUCUUUUUCGCUUUAUUUAUUUAUUCAAUUUUUUGGUCCAAAAUAAAUAGUAUAGUUAGAGAGAAUGUACACAUAGUUUGGUCUCAGAAUCUCAAAGGUGACAAAUAAGCCAGAAUCAAAUUAACUCAGCAUAUUAUAUCCUCAUUUGCAAGCAGAAAGUUGAGUCCAAAGCAACCAAAAACUUACUUGAUUUUUGGCUUUCUGCAAUA
rnacentral:misc_RNA from 1 species